rnacentral:rRNA from 1 species
AUUGAACGCUGGCGGCAGGCCUAACACAUGCAAGUCGAACGAGUGGCGGACGGGUGAGUAAUGUCUGGGAAACUUCCCGAUGGAGGGGGAUAACUACUGGACACGGUACCUACUACCGCAUACCAUUGGAUGUGCCCAGAUGGGAUUAGCUAGGAGGUGGGGUAAAGGCUCACCUAGGCGACGAUCCCUAGCUGGACUGAGAGGAUGACCAGCAACACUGGAACUGUGGCACGGUCCAGACACCUACGGGAGGCAGCAGUGGGGAAUAUUGCACAAUGGGCGCAAGCCUGAUGCAGCCAUGCCGCGUGUAUGAAGAAGGCCUUCGGGUUGUAAAGUACUUUCAGCGAGGAGGCGUUACUCGCAGAAGAAGCACCGGCUAACUCCGUGCCAGCAGCCGCGGUAAUAC